GGGAGUUGUCGUAAAAGUUCGUUCUUUGGGUGUGAUGGCCGCCGCCAGGGCAGGAAUUGGGGGAUUCUGUUAUUCCGGACGGCUCGGGGGGCUCUCUGUACCAUCAGAAGGCCACCGACAGCCCCCAGGUUACCGAGGGCCUGUUAAUUGUGUGCCAGGGAGGUGGGGAGCGGUGUGUUGGGUUAAGCUUGGGGCCUGGUGUCGCUAGAUCGGCCUGGGGGCCUCUGGCAGCUAAGGGCUAGAUGAGGGGCUCCAACCUGCCAGACCCUAGCCGUCUGGGCUUUCAGCCUUCAAAAUAUCUGGGUGGCCAGCGCCUAAGCAUUUUGGAGCAUGCCUUAUUUUGUUGUGGUUUGUAUCCUGCACCUCUCCCACUUUUCUUACAGUGUUGUACUGUGUUCCUGUAGUCGUUGAUGCUCAGGACCCUAUUUGAGGUUAGGUUGGGCUUGUUUUCUUGGGUCUGGUGGGAUUUGUGCAACAGGUGAAAUUUUGGGAAGUCUGAAGGGCAAUAUCCUGAGUGUUGUCUGUCUUGUUUUCGGUGUGAGAAACUGCGUGAGUGGUGAACGUGCCCCUGAACGUGUGCUUCACCUUCUCUUGCGUGUGGUGAACCUUGCCCCUGUUUCCUAAUGCCCACAGGCCGUGCUCCGCAGUUCCUCCUUAUGAAAUGCCUUUCUGUUAACUUGGAUGUGUUCUUAAACCUUUGUGAGCCUCUGGAAGACUGCUUUGCAGUUAGUUGGUCGUAGAACAGUAUUGUAGAACAGUAUUGCAAAAAGUGAUUGUGAAACAAAUACCCUUAGUUCUAGGGAGCAAGCCCUUUGACCUUAGUGGUGCUGUGGGGUGAUUUGGUUACUUAAGGGAAUCAGAUUUGCUUUUAGAUGCCUUACCUUACUCUUGGCUCCCAGGGUUCCUCUGCCUGUUGGUACACUUUGAUCUUACUUGUUUUUCCAUACUCUCUCAGCUUGAGUCAAAAUGGGACACUGUGUACUGACAUGUAACUGCAUGUAUCAGAAUCUCUGGAUAACACCAAAUUGCCAAGCAGUGAAAAAUCGUAAAGUCGAAUGUUCAUCAACUGAAGAAUGGAUAACCAAAUGGAAUACGACUAAGGAACGAGAAGGGAUAGACUACCAAUACUUGCACCAUGGAUUAAUCUCAAGGAUGUCAUGCUAAUGGAGAAGCAAGACAUAAAAGAUUAUAUACUGACUGAACUCCUUCUCAACUGAACUUAAUGGAGAGAUUAAGUGCCUUGUUUUGUGAGCUAUGUUUAAAUGAAGAUGAGCUAGAAGACAGAACUGUUAAAAAUAUGUAAGUUUUAUUAUAUAGCCAAAUGAAGGAUUCGGCUCUCUUGUAAUGGUAUUCUGAAAAAUUCCUAGCUUCUGUGAAAUUCCCUAAUUAUGGAAUUUUCUUUCAUGAUAUGGAGCUACUCCUGAUUUCAUCAUGAGAAUCUGAUCUGAAACUCAAUUUACGGAAAUACUGAAAAUGAAUUUCAAAUUAAAUGAGACCAUCUGUAUACUAAUAUGAUGCAAUACUGUUGAUUCACAUUUUUCCAUAUUAAAGACUGUUCUGAACUCUAAAUCUUUUAAAUAAACGAGACUGA
ensembl:lincRNA